rnacentral:pre_miRNA from 1 species
AGAGGGAUUGCUGGGUUGUAUGGUAAAAAUGUUUAACUUUAUAAGAAAAUGCCAAACUGUUGUUUAGAAUGGCUGUAUUAUUUUGUAUUCUCAUCAGCAAU